CAAGGAGGAGUGCCGGCCCACGGGCGGGGAGCUGGGUCACGGGUGUGUGCAGGGGCAGAAUGUGCCAGAAUGUGCCAGAAUGCGCCGGCUCUCACCUUGCCCAGCUGCCGCUGAGAAAAACAAAGCACAAAGAGGGACCUGAAGUAUCUCCUUCUCGGGAGCCUGAUAAGGGACUGGAGUGGUGGCCAGAGCCGUGGAAUCCAACAAGAGGAACAUUACAUGGCAUGUGGCAUGGGGGACCCCCAGGAGGCAAGGAGGCCUUCAGAAAGGAGUCUCCGGAUGCAGCCUAGCCGUGCAGACCCUGACAUUGGACACGCAGCCCAAGUUCUCCAUCUUUAUCCUGCAGAAAAACUGACGUCAGUGCGAGUUCCCCGGGGCGGACACCAGGGCCUGGGGGGUGGGGGGAGCCGUUGUCUAACGAGCACAAAGCUUCGGUUUUGCAGGAAGUUCUGGAGGAGGACACACAGCAAUGUGAAUACCUGGGCGUUGCUGAACUGCCCCCUGGGGCAGGGCAAAGACUGCCGGUUAAUUCGGUGUUUGGUGAAGGCCCUGUGGUCCCUGU